UCCUGGAGGGGAGGGGCUAGGAUACUGUUUUUCUACCUGGGCGGCCCUCCGAUUGCUAGCUGUGGCCUCUGCCUGCUCCCGAACUGCAGGAAGAAGACACGAGAAAGCUACAGAGUAGUUAUUGAGCUGAUGGACGCAAAGCAGUCACUUGACCCCUCCUUCGCAUGUUUGUCCCCGUGGAGCUGGGAAUGGUGGCCUCCCAAGACUGGACCCAUGACUGAAACGGAGCCGAGUUUUGCUUCGUACGAAAUCUAAAAGGUGAAAUAUUCUCAGCAGAAUUCAAGAGAGCCAUGCAAAUCACUGAGUGAUUUCAGGAGACCCAGAAAAUUGCCCCAAAACCCGAGUCACUGAGAAGAGCUGCAGCUGCUAAUGAAGGUCUUUACAGCCCGCGUGGAGCAUCAUAGGACCGGAAUUCUCCUCCACUGGAUGAGUUUUGUCAGGAAUAUGAGUGAUUUCCCCACCCAACCUAACCAGUCUCUUUCCUCACCUGACCUAAUCAGGAAGGAACCCAGGCACUAUCUCAGGCCAUUUCACACCCAUGUAUCACCCCCACGAGGGCAAGCACCCCAUGGGUGGGCGCAACGCAGCCCUCCUUUUAUCCCCUGCUUCUACACCAUGUCCGGCACAUAGCAGGAUCUGGGCAAAGCCUGAAUUGAAUUACAAUCUAAGGGUAGAGUGGGGAGAGCCACAGA